GUGUCAGCCGCCGCGGUAAUACGAAGGGGGCUAGCGUUGUUCGGAAUUACUGGGCGUAAAGCGCGCGUAGGCGGACUGGUCAGUCAGGGGUGAAAUCCCGGGGCUUAACCUCGGAACUGCCUUUGAUACUGCCAGUCUCGAGUCCGGAAGAGGUGAGUGGAAUUCCUAGUGUAGAGGUGAAAUUCGUAGAUAUUAGGAAGAACACCGGUGGCGAAGGCGGCUCACUGGUCCGGUACUGACGCUGAGGCGCGAAAGCGUGGGGAGCAAACAGGAUUAGAUACCCUGGUAGUCCACGCCGUAAACGAUGGAUGCUAGCCGUUGGACAGCAUGCUGUUCAGUGGCGCAGCUAACGCAUUAAGCAUCCCGCCUGGGGAGUACGGCCGCAAGGUUAAAACUCAAAGGAAUUGACGGGG
rnacentral:rRNA from 1 species